UGGGGAAUAUUGGACAAUGGGCGCAAGCCUGAUCCAGCCAUGCCGCGUGAGUGACGAAGGCCUUAGGGUUGUAAAGCUCUUUUGGCGGGGAAGAUAAUGACGGUACCCGCAGAAUAAGCUCCGGCUAACUUCGUGCCAGCAGCCGCGGUAAUACGAAGGGAGCUAGCGUUGUUCGGAAUCACUGGGCGUAAAGCGCACGUAGGUGGGCAGUUAAGUCAGGGGUGAAAGCCCGAGGCUCAACCUCGGAAUUGCCUCUGAUACUGGCUGUCUAGAGUUCGAGAGAGGUGAGUGGAAUUCCUAGUGUAGAGGUGAAAUUCGUAGAUAUUAGGAAGAACACCAGUGGCGAAGGCGGCUCACUGGCCCGAUACUGACGCUGAGGUGCGAAAGCGUGGGGAGCAAACAGGAUUAGAUACCCAGGUAGUCCCUGAGCGGGCUGGCAAGGCGCAU
rnacentral:rRNA from 1 species